UUAAGUAACUGGAUGCAUUUUUAUUUCCUUAGUUAGGGAGAGAGAUGAUUUUUGGCUCAUAUCAUAGUGGCAAUAGAGAUGAAGAGAAUUUGAUAUAACGCAGAGCUCUUUAGUGAAACUGACAGGAUUUUUUAAUAGGGAUAUGUGAAGCAACAACAGUAAAUGGGGAAAUUAUUACUUAUAGAUUUCAUACUUAAUCAAAUCACUCAUUUAGUGAGUGUUAUUGAGACAUGAGGCACACAGAGGCAAAAGUGGGAACUAAGAAAGAUUUAGAAAUACACAUUUCAUAUGUUUAAAGUCCCUGUACAAGUAACAUUCUCACAGAGACAUUGAGAAGGUAGGUAGAUGAGAAUCUGUAGGCCAGAAGGAAUUUAAAGUGUGACGAUAUCCAUUUGGGAGUGAUGAAAAGAGAAUGCAGCCAUACAGUAGAAUAACAUAAAAGAUACUUUCGAAAGCUUGUCUCACAUAUCUGUUUUUAUGUAGCAAGCCACCUUAAAACUCAAUAGUUUAAAAAAUUAACAACAGUUUUGUUUACUUCCCUUCCAUUUGGGUCAACAAUUUAGACUGGGUUUAUGGGGUGCUUCUUUGGUUGCUUUCAACUUAGGGCACUCAACUCAUCGUCUUGGGCUAAGGGCUAUAAAAUAGCCUUUCUCACAUGAUUGGCCCUUGGUGCUAGCUGUUUUCCAGUCCACACACUUCCAUCAGGCUGGUUUGGGAUUCUUCACAUGGAGUCUUCAUUCCAAAAACAGCAAAAAGCAGAGUAAUCCUCUAUGGCCACACCUUUCAAGCUUUUGCUGACAUCAUAUCUGCCAAUAUCUCAAUCACCGAGGAGAGCAAGAAACCCCACCUUAGUCAACUUGAGAAGAAAGAACACAUGGGUGUGACUACAAGGACACAGGACACAGUGGGGGCUACUUCUGUAACAAUCUACAAGAAACUUCAAUGGUCAAGUAGAAGACAAACUAGUAAAGAAGAUGGAAAGGGGACAGCUAGAAUAUUGAUAAGAGGAAAAAUAGCAAAAAGAAGCAAUGCAAAUGACAAAGAAAGUGAGAAUGACAGAGAACUUUUAAUAUAAGAGAAGGUUACAUUUUUGGUUGCAUGAUGUAUCUUUAUGAUUUCUUUCAUUCGUCAGUUUUAUGUCAGGUAGGAUUACAUUCAACUGUACCAUUAGGAUCCAGGUAGUGUGCUGAAAGACACUUCUCAGGUUUCUCCCCUGGUUCUGAGAGGUGACAGCGUGCUGGCAGUCCUCACAGCCCUCUCUCGCUCUCGGCGCCUCCUCUGCCUGGGCUCCCACUUUGGAUGCACCUGGGGAGCCCUUCAGCCCACCGCUGCACUGUGGGGGCCCCUUUCUGGGCUGGCCAAGGCCGGAGCCCACUCCCUCAGCUUGCAGGGAGGUGUGGAGGGA
rnacentral:lncRNA from 1 species